CUUUUCUCACUGCUUCUCAGUUACGCUUCGCUUACCUUUGUCUAUGGAUUUCAUUUCGAAUCCAAUGGCUUGCAAGACUCUCCCAUGCCGGACACUGUUCCCGCCAUGCGCUGCACCUUCUCGCCGCCGCCAUUUUUCGCCCUUUUCACUGUCCAAUACAGGCAAGCGAGUUGGAAAGCUUCGUUGCGAGUUCGAUUUUAAUGUUAAUGGAGCUCUCUCCGGCGACUUUGAUCCUCGCUCCGUCGACAGGAAAAAGGCAUUGGAAGCAGCAAUGAAUGAUAUAAAUAGCUCAUUUGGGAAAGGAAGUGUUACACGACUCGGAAGUGCUGGAGGAGCGUUAGUGGAAACUUUCCCAAGUGGUUGUUUGACUUUAGACUGCGCCUUAGGUGGUGGCCUUCCUAAAGGCAGAAUUGUUGAGAUAUUUGGACCAGAAAGUAGUGGAAAGACCACUUUAGCAUUGCAUGCAAUUGCAGAAGUACAGAAACUAGGUGGAAAUGCGAUGCUUGUGGAUGCAGAGCAUGCCUUUGAUCCAACAUAUUCUAAAGCUGUAGGAGUGGAUGUAGAAAAUUUGAUUGUCUGCCAACCUGAUCAUGGAGAGAUGGCACUUGAGAUUGCAGAUCGCAUGUGUAGAUCUGGUGCUGUAGAUCUCAUUUGUGUGGAUUCUGUUUCUGCUCUAACGCCAAGAGCAGAAAUUGAAGGUGAGAUUGGCAUGCAGCAAAUGGGUCUGCAAGCACGGCUUAUGAGUCAAGCUCUUCGUAAAAUGUCUGGAAAUGCCUCAAAAGCUGGUUGCACUCUCAUCUUUUUGAAUCAAAUACGAUAUAAGAUUGGUGUGUAUUAUGGGAACCCAGAAGUGACAAGCGGAGGAAUUGCGCUAAAGUUCUUUGCCUCACUUCGACUUGAAAUACGUCAGACUGGGAAGCUCAAGUCUGCUAAAGGAGAUGAAGAAAUUGGGAUUCGAGUUCGUGUUAGAGUGCAAAAGAGCAAGGUGUCGAGGCCAUACAAGCAAGCCGAAUUCGAAAUAAUCUUUGGAGAGGGAGUAAGUAAACUGGGUUGCAUUUUAGAUUGUGCUGAAAUCAUGGACAUUGUAGUGAAAAAGGGCUCGUGGUACAGUUAUGGGGACCACAGGUUGGGACAGGGAAGAGACAGAGCUCUGCAAUACUUGAAAGAAAAUCCUGCUCUUCAAGAGGAAAUUGAGAAGACGGUGCAGACCACGCUGACUAGUGGAACUGUUCAAAUGGGAUUUCAAUCUAUCAGAAAGCCAUUGCCGAAUCAAGAAGAGGUUCUUGAGGAGUUUGAAUAAUGAACAAUCUAUGCUACGAUUAAGCAGUAGCUACAGAGACUACAAGCAGAAGCGACAUUUCUCGAUCAGCCCCCAAUAGAUCGAUUUUCCGUGGUACAUCCAGUGAUGCUAUUAGAAGUUUUUUAGUUAGGUGCAAGCUAGAUGUGAUGAAGACCGAAAACUGGCUCUAUUUGCAUCAAACCUCCAAAGACAACGUUUUGGAUCAUCCACGAGUCUCUUCUUUGGUAUCGCUUAAAACAGAUUUAUAGAUUACAUCAAUUGCAUCAGAAUUAUAAUCACCAUCUCUGAGGGCGAUGGAAUUCAAGCAAGCAGGGUAUGGUUUGUUAUAUGAAGCCCCUUCCCUACUAGUAACAGGGGUUAGUAGUUCCAUUUUUUCUUUACUUGAAUUUCACUGUCAGUAUACAAAAAGACAUGUUCAUAAAUUAAUUUAGGGUUCUUUGUA